AGUCGUAACAAGGUUUCCGUAGGUGAACCUGCGGAAGGAUCAUUACCGAGUGCGGGCUGCCUCCGGGCGCCCAACCUCCCACCCGUGACUACCUAACACUGUUGCUUCGGCGGGGAGCCCUUUCGGGGGCGAGCCGCCGGGGACUACUGAACUUCAUGCCUGAGAGUGAUGCAGUCUGAGUCUGAAUAUAAAAUCAGUCAAAACUUUCAACAAUGGAUCUCUUGGUUCCGGCAUCGAUGAAGAACGCAGCGAACUGCGAUAAGUAAUGUGAAUUGCAGAAUUCAGUGAAUCAUCGAGUCUUUGAACGCACAUUGCGCCCCCUGGCAUUCCGGGGGGCAUGCCUGUCCGAGCGUCAUUGCUGCCCAUCAAGCCCGGCUUGUGUGUUGGGUCGUCGUCCCCCCCGGGGGACGGGCCCGAAAGGCAGCGGCGGCACCGUGUCCGGUCCUCGAGCGUAUGGGGCUUUGUCACCCGCUCGAUUAGGGCCGGCCGGGCGCCAGCCGACGUCUCCAACCAUUUUUUUCAGGUUGACCUCGGAUCAGGUAGGGAUACCCGCUGAACUUAAGCAUAUCAAUAAGCGGAGGA
rnacentral:misc_RNA from 1 species